rnacentral:rRNA from 1 species
CUUAAUACAUGCAAGUCGAACGAAUGGAUGUCUAGCUUGCUAGACUGAAGUUAGUGGCGAACGGGUGAGUAAUACAUAGGCAAUCUGCCCUGAAGUGUGGGAUAGCUAUUGGAAACGAUAAUUAAUACCGCAUAGGUAGUAGGAAGGCAUCUUCCUACUAUUAAAGAUGCGUUUGCAUCGCUGCAGGAUGAGCUUAUGGUGUAUUAGCUAGUUGGUGAGAUAAAAGCCCACCAAGGCUAUGAUACAUAGCUGGUCUGAGAGGAUGAACAGCCACAUUGGGACUGAGACACGGCCCAGACUCCUACGGGAGGCAGCAGUAAGGAAUUUUCGGCAAUGGGGGCAACCCUGACCGAGCAACGCCGCGUGAGUGAUGAAGGUCUUCGGAUCGUAAAACUCUGUUGUAAAGGAAGAAUGUCAUAUAUAGGAAAUGAUAUAUGAGUGACGGUACUUUACUAGAAAGUCACGGCUUACUACGUG